AAAGCUGACUGGUUUUACUUUUAACAAUGAAGGAAAAGAACUGAAGGGAAGCAGAGGAAUAUAGGGAUAAAAACCCUAUGAAUUUUUCAGGGUGUGUGACACCAAGAGCUUUGGAAAAGGAGUAUGUUGUGCAAUCCCAGCACAGAUUAGCAUGAAGAAUAGCACAGAAAAGAUAUUGUGCCUUGCCUUACAAGUUUUACUGCCUUGCAAAAGUCAUGCACUGUGCUCAAGAGCUACUGCCAGCAUCGUCAUGAUGACCUGUUUGUACUUUCACUGAUACAGAACAUUAAGCUGAAGCAGUAAAAGGAAAUCAAGAAGAAGAUAAUACAGGUUCUACAUCAGGAGAUUCAUAAGACCACAGGCUCAUUUUCAAGGAGCAUGGAUGACUCUCAGUCACUGCAGAUGUUUAAAAGCUGAAGUUGUGGAGCAAAACAUCAGUAACGAAAUACCCAAGCCUUUCUGCCUACAGGAGACAUUUGAGAUGAGAUAGAGAUUUUAAGGGCUGUCCAGAUGUAUUGACCUCUUGGCUUCCCUGGGAGAAUACAAGGUAGUGCUUAACACUAUGGCUCUUUGUCCUCCUCAUGGAAAAAUCCAGAUGGAAAGAAGUGUGGUUCACAGGGAAAUGAUCAUAUUCAUACAUAUGUGUUCUACAGUUUGUCACUAAUGAAUUCGGACUUGUCUGUUUUUCAUCCAGAGGAUGUAAAGGGAAAGAAGGGGAACAUGGCGAGGAUGGAAAUUGCACUUAAUUCCUACGCUCUUUGCAGAGGCUGCUCCGCUGGCAAAGGAAGUGGAACAUUCCCUCCACCUUCAGCAACUUGUUUGGGAAACUACAAAUCAUUUGGUGUAAAAAAUAAAAACAGGGUGGAGCAGACAGCUAAGAGAUAACCAUCUCUGAACAGGCACGUGGCAAUGAGCAGAAGUUCUUACAGCUUGUUUCUGUUCUGAAUAUCCAGUAUUUGGUCUGUUUAAAAUGUGUAACCCAUUACAACUGAAAUUGUACAAUUGUGAACAUUUGCAUCAGGUUGCUCAAUGACUUGAUGACGUAACUUUGAAGCAAUUCAAAAUGCAAAAUUUCCUUGUUUUACUGUAGUUGCACGUGCAUAAGGAUUGCAAAAGAUCUUUUUUUUUUUUUCGAUGUGAAGAAAGAAUACAAGGCCAAAUUCUCUGAAAAGGCUGGUGUCAUUAACUUAAUGCAGCUACACUGGCACCCGUUUUUCACUUCAACUGAAGCUACAACUUAAACUUGUCUUGGACUGCACAGUAAUUACAUCAUUAACAAAGCAAAUUCUGAAUGUUCGUCCGACUGCAUUAUGCCGCUGCAGAGGGCUGGCUGCUGCCACAGUCAGUUGAUAUACAAAAUACAAUUAUUUCUGGAGUAAUCUGUUUCUAAUU